CUACGGGUUGCACCAGUGAGGAAUAUUGGACAAUGGGCGAAAGCCUGAUCCAGCAACGUCGCGUGAGUGGUAAGGCCUUAGGGUUGUAAAGCUCUUUUAGUGGGGAAGAUAAUGACGGUACCCACAGAAAAAGCCCCGGCUAACUUCGUGCCAGCAGCCGCGGUAAUACGAAGGGGGCAAGCGUUACUCGGAAUUAUUGGGCGUAAAGAGUGCGUAGGCGGUACUAUAAGUUAGGGGUGAAAUCCUCAGGCUCAACCUGAGAACUGCUCUUAAUACUGUAGUACUUGAGUUUUGAAGGGGGUAGCGGAAUUCCUAGUGUAGAGGUGGAAUUCGUAGAUAUUAGGAGGAACACCGGUGGCGAAAGCGGUUACCUGGUCAAAUACUGACGCUGUUGCACGAAAGCGUGGGGAGCAAACAGGAUUAGAUACCCCCGUAGUC
rnacentral:rRNA from 1 species